GAUGAAGAACGCAGCGAAAUGCGAUAAGUAAUGUGAAUUGCAGAAUUCAGUGAAUCAUCGAAUCUUUGAACGCACAUUGCGCCCGCCAGUAUUCUGGCGGGCAUGCCUGUUCGAGCGUCAUUUCAACCAUCAAGCCCCAGGCUUGUGUUGGGGACCUGCGGCUGCCGCAGGCCCUGAAAACCAGUGGCGGGCUCGCUGUCACACCGGGCGUAGUAGAUUUUAUCUCGCUCAGGGCGUGCUGCGGGUUCCGGCCGUUAAAAAGCCUUUUUUACCCAAGGUUGACCUCGGAUCAGGUAGGAAGACCCGCUGAACUUAAGCAUAUCAUAGCGGAGGA
rnacentral:misc_RNA from 1 species